rnacentral:tRNA from 1 species
GCCGUCGUAGCUUAGUGGUAGAGCUCUCGGCUGUUAACCGAGUGGUCGCAGGUUCGAAUCCUGCCGGCGGCG